rnacentral:lncRNA from 1 species
GAUGUCGCCGAUCCCAAUGCCGCAGGAUGAAUAAUUACCAGCCGGGGAUGUGCCGCUACCAGGACUGCCGCUGUCCCCUCACCCUCAACCACUUCGGGUACACGUGUCAAGGGUGCAGGCAGAACACGACCGUCCGUCGCCAUCGCGGUCGUCGCUGCCAACUGCCGCUCCAUUAGUUCUCGGAGCAGCCCGAACUGACCCGCAAGCGCGGUCACUUGCGCCCGCAACUCCUGCAUCUCAUUAGGCCCGGCUUGCGCAAGCGCCACAGGAGGCUCAGGCGCUCGUGGAGGUUCAACUUGCUCGGGCACCUCGGGAGGCGAUGCCGUAGCCGAUCUGAGCGUAUAGC